UGGACGACGUGGACAGCAGCGUGUGC
rnacentral:piRNA from 2 species